UUCGUCCUACGGGAGGCAGCAGUGAGGAAUAUUGGUCAAUGGGCGGAAGCCUGAACCAGCCAAGUCGCGUGAGGGAAUAAGGCCCUACGGGUCGUAAACCUCUUUUGCCGGGGAGCAAGGGCGGGGACGUGUCCCGGCCCGGAGAGUACCCGGAGAAAAAGCAUCGGCUAACUCCGUGCCCGCAGCCGCGGUAAUACGGAGGAUGCGAGCGUUAUCCGGAUUUAUUGGGUUUAAAGGGUGCGUAGGCGGGCUUUUAAGUCAGCGGUCAAAAUUCGGGGCCCAACCCCGUCCGGUCGU
rnacentral:rRNA from 1 species